rnacentral:rRNA from 1 species
GAUGAACGCUGGCGGCGUGCCUAAUACAUGCAAGUCGAGCGAACAGACGAGGAGCUUGCUCCUCUGACGUUAUCGGCGGACGGGUGAGUAACACGUGUAUAACCUACCUAUAAGACUGGGAUAACUUCGGGAAACCGGAGCUAAUACCGGAUAAUAUAUUGAACCGCAUGGUUCAAUAGUGAAAGACGGUUUUGCUGUCACUUAUAGAUGGAUCCGCGCCGCAUUAGCUAGUUGGUAAGGUAACGGCUUACCAAGGCAACGAUGCGUAGCCGACCUGAGAGGGUGAUCGGCCACACUGGAACUGAGACACGGUCCAGACUCCUACGGGAGGCAGCAGUCGGGAAUCUUCCGCAAUGGGCGAAAGCCUGACGGAGCAACGCCGCGUGAGUGAUGAAGGUCUUCGGAUCGUAAAGCUCUGUUAUUAGGAAAGAACAAAUGUGUAAGUAACUAUGCACGUCUUGACGGUACCUAAUCAGAAAGCCCCGGCUAACUACGUG